AUCAUCAUAGUUUCAGUCUCUGGUUUCAGUCGCAAAAGCUUCUAUCGCCCCUUUGCACGGCCAUAUUUGAUAAAAUCAAAGCGGCCCGCACCCCCGGUUUGAAAAGUUAAAUAUUCUGAAAUAUUCAAAAUUUGAGGCGUCACGUGACCAGCCUUUACCAGGGCCUUUGCUGCUUCGCCUCCUUCCUGAAUAGGCCCUGGGGACGAGGUUGA